rnacentral:rRNA from 1 species
ACGGGAGGCAGCAGUGGGGAAUAUUGCACAAUGGGCGCAAGCCUGAUGCAGCGAUGCCGCGUGAGGGAAGAAGGUUUUCGGAUUGUAAACCUCUGUCAUCGGGGACGAUAAUGACUGUACCCGAGAAGGAAGCUCCGGCUAACUAAGUGCCAGCAGCCGCGGUAAUACGUAGGGAGCGAGCGUUAUCCGGAAUUACUGGGUGUAAAGGGAGUGUAGGCGGGACUGUAAGUCAGAUGUGAAAUAUGCCGGCUCACCUGGCAGACUGCAUUUUAAGCUGCGGUUCUUGAGUGAAGUAGAGGUAAGCGGAAUUCCUAGUGUAGCGGUGAAAUGCGUAGAUAUUAGGAGGAACAUCAGUGGCGAAGGCGGCUUACUGGGCUUUAACUGACGCUUAGUCUCGAAAGCGUGGGGAGCAAACAGGAUUAGAUACCCUUGUA